GACGAACGCUGGCGGCGUGCCUAAUACAUGCAAGUCGAACGGUCUUUUCUAUGGAAGCUUGCUUCCACUGAGAAGAUAGUGGCGAACGGGUGAGUAACACGUGGGUAACCUGCCCAUAAGAGGGGGAUAACAUCCGGAAACGGGUGCUAAUACCGCAUAGGUUUCUUGGUCGCAUGAUCGAGAAAGGAAAGACGGCCUUUGUGCUGUCGCUUAUGGAUGGACCCGCGGCGUAUUAGUUAGUUGGUGAGGUAACGGCUCACCAAGACGAUGAUACGUAGCCGACCUGAGAGGGUGAUCGGCCACAUUGGGACUGAGACACGGCCCAAACUCCUACGGGAGGCAGCAGUAGGGAAUCUUCCGCAAUGGACGAAAGUCUGACGGAGCAACGCCGCGUGAGUGAAGAAGGUUUUCGGAUCGUAAAACUCUGUUGUCAGAGAAGAACAAGUCGGAGAGUAACUGCUCCGGCCUUGACGGUAUCUGACCAGAAAGCCACGGCUAACUACGUGCCAGCAGCCGCGGUAAGAC
rnacentral:rRNA from 1 species